AACGAACGCUGGCGGCAUGCUUAACACAUGCAAGUCGAACGAGACCUUCGGGUCUAGUGGCGCACGGGUGCGUAACGCGUGGGAACCUGCCCUUAGGUUCGGAAUAACUCCCCGUAAGGGGUGCUAAUACCGGAUAAUGUCUUCGGACCAAAGAUUUAUCGCCUUUGGAUGGGCCCGCGUUGGAUUAGCUAGUUGGUAGGGUAAAAGCCUACCAAGGCGACGAUCCAUAGCUGGUCUGAGAGGAUGAUCAGCCACACUGGCACUGAGACACGGCCCAGACUCCUACGGGAGGCAGCAGUGGGGAAUAUUGGACAAUGGGCGAAAGCCUGAUCCAGCAAUGCCGCGUGAGUGAUGAAGGCCUUAGGGUUGUAAAGCUCUUUUACCCGGGAUGAUAAUGACAGUACCGGGAGAAUAAGCACCGGCUAACUCCGUG
rnacentral:rRNA from 1 species